rnacentral:rRNA from 1 species
AGUAAUGUCUGGGAAACUGCCUGAUGAGGGGAGUAACUGCUGGAAACGGUAGCUAAUACCGCAUAACGUCGCAAGACCAAAGUGGGGGACCUUCGGGCCUCAUGCCAUAAGAUGUGCCCAGAUGGGAUUAGCUAGUAGGUGGGGUAACGGCUCACCUAGGCGACGAUCCCUAGCUGGUCUGAGAGGAUGACCAGCCACACUGGAACUGAGACACGGUCCAG